rnacentral:lncRNA from 1 species
CCUUAUUUUUGCAGUUUCUAAAGGGAGUGCCAGGCUUUUGAAUGCCUUCUCUGUGACAUGCUGCCAAACCAGAGAGUAGAUGGAAUAAUUGUAGACUUAGCCUUUACCCCAGAUCACAGAAAUGUCAAUGAAACAUGGUGAAACAACAGCAGUCUGGUUAAAAGUGAGCUUUGGAAAGAGACAUUAGGCUUUAAUUUCCCCUCUGGAAAUGUUGCUAAUGAUGGAGCUGUUUCCCUAGGGUAUUUUCCAAGAAAUUCACAUGUAAAUCCAGGCAGUGAAGCGGGGCUUCUUUCAGUAAGAUCUGAAAUGUCAAAACAGGUAAAAUGUUCAGAAGGUGAAACAUUCUCAAAGUUGAGAGCCACAUCAGUCUCUCUGCUUCAGUUUGGGGGACACAAGUUGAUCAUCAUGAUGAGGAAGAAUGUUGGGGAGGUUUAGAGUGUGGAGCUUGGAGCCAGGGUAUUUAGGUGCAAAUCCUGAUUAUGC